rnacentral:rRNA from 1 species
AGUAGCCACGGUAAUACGUAGGUGGCGAGCGUUGUCCGGAUUUAUUGGGCGUAAAGGGAGUGUAGGCGGUCUUUUAAGACUGAUGUGAAAGCCCACGGCUCAACCGUGGAGGGUCAUUGGAAACUGGGAGACUUGAGUGCAGAAGAGGAGAGCGGAAUUCCAUGUGUAGCGGUGAAAUGCGUAGAUAUAUGGAGGAACACCAGUGGCGAAGGCGGCUCUCUGGUCUGUAACUGACGCUGAGGCUCGAAAGCGUGGGGAGCAAACAGGAUUAGAUACCCGAGUAGUCCCUGUCUCUUAUACA